AUACAGAGGGUGCGAGCGUUGUUCGGAAUUAUUGGGCGUAAAGAGCAUGUAGGCGGUCUGUUAAGUCAGGUGUGAAAGCCCGGGGCUCAACCCCGGAAGUGCAUUGGAUACUGGCAGACUUGAGUAUGGGAGAGGAAAGCGGAAUUCCGAGUGUAGGAGUGAAAUCCGUAGAUAUUCGGAGGAACACCAGUGGCGAAGGCGGCUUUCUGGACCAAUACUGACGCUGAGAUGCGAAAGCGUGGGGAGCAAACAGGAUUAGAAACCCCGGUAGUCC
rnacentral:rRNA from 1 species